GGAAAAGAAGACAACAAAGAAGAGGCCAACAGGGUUAAAAGCCAUGGGGAGUAUGGAAACUGAUUCAGAAUGAGGAUCAAAAUGUGAAGAAAUUGAAACUGAACUGACCCUUUUGAUUAUUUUUUUUGGAAUGGUGAAUUUGAAUGAAGAAUAGAAGAAGAGAAAAGAGAUAAUGUGAAUCUCUCAUCAUCCUCAGCCUCUGCUCUCUGCCCUUUUGGAAUUAUGACUCAAAGUCACAAUUUGCCUUUGGAUUUGAUGCUAAAGAAGUCCACUUUUGGUGCUAUGUUUGGCAGUGCCGCGAAAGCGAU
rnacentral:misc_RNA from 1 species